UACGGGGGGGGUAAGCGUUGUUCGGAAUUACUGGGCGUAAAGGGCUUGUAGGUGGCCAACUAAGUCAGACGUGAAAUCCCUCGGCUUAACCGGGGAACUGCGUCUGAUACUGGAUGGCUUGAGUGUGGGAGAGGGAUGCGGAAUUCCAGGUGUAGCGGUGAAAUGCGUAGAUAUCUGGAGGAACACCGGUGGCGAAGGCGGCAUCCUGGACCAUUACUGACACUGAAAAGCGAAAGCCAGGGGAGCAAACGGG
rnacentral:rRNA from 1 species